rnacentral:rRNA from 1 species
AUUGAACGCUGGCGGAAGGCCUAACACCUGCAAGUCGAACGAGGGGCGGACGGGUGAGUAAUGUCUGGGAAACUGCCCGAUGGAGGGGGAUAACUACUGGAAACGGUAGCUAAUAACGCAUACCAUCGGAUGUGCCCAGAUGGGAUUCGCUAGUAGGGGGGGUAACGGCUCAACUAGGCGACGAUCCCUAGCUGGUCUGAGAGGAUGACCAGCCAAACUGGAACUGAGACACGGUCCAGACUCCUACGUGAGGCAGCAGUGGGGAAUAUUUGACAAUGGGCGCAAGCCGGAUGCAGCCAUGCCGCGUGUAUGAAGAAGGCCUUCGGGUUGUAAAGUACUUUCAGCGAGGAGGCGUUACUCGCAGAAGAAGCACCUGCUAACUCCGUGCCAGCAGCCGCGGUAAGAC